rnacentral:misc_RNA from 1 species
GAUGAAGAACGCAGCGAAAUGCGAUAAGUAAUGUGAAUUGCAGAAUUCAGUGUAUCAUCGAAUCUUUGAACGCACAUUGCGCCCCCUGGUAUUCCGGGGGGCAUGCCUGUUCGAGCGUCAUUUCACCACUCAAGCCUCGCUUGGUAUUGGGCGACGCGGUCCGCCGCGCGCCUCAAAUCGACCGGCUGGGUCUUCCGUCCCCUCAGCGUUGUGGAAACUAUUCGCUAAAGGGUGCCGCGGGAGGUCACGCCGCAAAACAACCCCAUUUCUAAGGUUGACCUCGGAUCAGGUAGGGAUACCCGCUGAACUUAAGCAUAUCAAUAAGCGGAGGA